GGCUCCCUGGUGUAGCGGUUAACACACCCCCCUUUUCUUGGAUGUACUAUAUUUCUUUGCUACCAAGGGGGGAGCACCCAGGUUCGACUCCUGGGGGGAGUGCUCA